GACGAAGGGGGCUAGCGUUGUUCGGAAUUACUGGGCGUAAAGCGAGUGUAGGUGGUUGUCCAAGUUGGAUGUGAAAGCCUUGAGCUCAACUCAAGAAAUGCAUUCAGGACUGGGCGACUAGAGGACCGGAGAGGAUAGUGGAAUUCCCAGUGUAGUGGUGAAAUACGUAGAUAUUGGGAAGAACACCAGUGGCGAAGGCGGCUAUCUGGACGGUUUCUGACACUAAGACUCGAAAGCGUGGGGAGCAAACAGG
rnacentral:rRNA from 1 species